rnacentral:misc_RNA from 1 species
UGCAGCUGCAAAAUUAACGCAUUUUAGUCCUUGGUGUUUGGUAUAAAAGAAGUAGCUGUGAGGACAGCAGGAAUCGUUUUGCUUCCUUCCCAAAGAAGUACAAAGCUAUUCCCAAAGAAAGCGUUGAAGACAUCUGCCGUUACGAUGAUUUCGAACUACGUCAUAUCCGCAGUCAUGCUUGCUGCAUAUGUGGUCUGCGCGGCAGCAGCGAAGACUGGUGCUGGUAUUGGCCGCUAAAUGUCAGAUAUGGUUAAAACUUCCUGAAAUGGGACUCCAAAUGAGCAGCAUUAAGACUUUACCGAAGAACUGACUUUAUUUUCAAUGCAGUACACUCCAAGCACUCCACUCGAAAAGUUUUUAUGCUUCACCUGCAGAUACAAAACUUCCUUUGCGAAAAAAUACCUAUUUAUAAUUUGAUAUUUUCAAAUUAUUGCAGAAUAUUUAUGAAACAAUAAACUUUUUGCUGCUA